UGCUCUCGAAUGUACCUCGUCUGAAAAAGUAACUAAAUUCCAAUAAGGAUUGUUUAUCUAUAUUACUCAAAUUACCAUUAUAUUUAUAUAACGGUUUGCACUGAGGUAAUUUAGAGCAGACUUGAAUUAAUCGUCUAAGGUAUUCCUCGAGGUGUUUUCUACGUUGUCGUGCGACCACUUCGUUUCUUGGAAAGAAAAUACGAGGAGGAAAACGUAUUCCUGCAACCUGUUAAAACAAAUUCAUAUACGAGAUACCUUACAACCGUACUUCUUACUCAUCGAAAUAUACAACUCUCGAAAAGUUCUAUAUCUUCUCAACAACGUCCAAUUGUCAUCUUGUGCUACAAUUCUAACUUCGUAUUCGUAAUGACUAUUGUCUACAAUUUAUUAUAAAAUCAACAAGAAAAAUGCUUACGGUUAGAUAGACCGUAGAGUAACCACGUCCGGAAGAUAUUCUGGAGACCAUCGAUUCGGAGGGAAAAGAAUUCGGAUAUUUUAGAACGGGAAUAAACAGGAAAAUGCUUACGUGAUGAUUGACGAGUUCUCUGACAGCAUCAACA